CCCUUAGAUGUUCUGGGCCGCACGCGCGCUACACUGACGAAGUCAGCGAGCAUGUCCUACGCCGACAGGUGCGGGGAAUCUUGUCAAACUUCGUCGUGAUGGGGAUUGAUUAUUGAAAUUCUUGAUCAUCAACGAGGAAUUCCUAGUAAGCGUGAGUCAUCAGCUCACGUUGAUUACGUCCCUGCCCUUUGUACACACCGCCCGUCGCUCCUACCGAUUGAAUGUGCCAGUGAAAAGUUCGGAUUGGAGAUAGGAAACGGCAACGUAUCCUAUUUCCGAGAAAAUCUUUAAACUUUCCCAUUUAGAGGAAGGAGAAGUCGUAACA
rnacentral:rRNA from 1 species